rnacentral:rRNA from 1 species
CCUACGGGUGGCAGCAGUCGAGAAUCAUUCACAAUGGGGGAAACCCUGAUGGUGCGACGCCGCGUGGGGGAAUGAAGGUCUUCGGAUUGUAAACCCCGGUGAUGUGGGAGCAAAUGAAAAAGAGAGUACCACAAGAGGAAGAGACGACUAACUCUGUGCCAGCAGCCGCGGUAAUACAGAGGUCUCAAGCGUUGUUCGGAAUCACUGGGCGUAAAGCGUGCGUAGGCGGUUUCGUAAGUCGUGUGUGAAAGGCGCGGGCUCAACCGGCGGACGGCACAUGAAACUGGGAGACUAGAGUAAUGGAGAGGGGAGCGGAAUUCCAGGUGUAGCAGUGAAAUGCGUAGAUAUAGGGAGGAACACCAGUGGCGAAGGCGGGUUCCUGGACAUUAACUGACGCUGAGGCACGAAGGCCAGGGGAGCGAAAGGGAUUAGAUACCCGUGUAGUC